rnacentral:tRNA from 1 species
UCCCUGGUGGUCCAGUGGCUAAGACUGUGAGCUCCCAACUCAGGGACCCUGGGUUCGAUCCCUGGUGAGGGAA